rnacentral:rRNA from 1 species
GACCUCAAAUCAGGUAGGACUACCCGCUGAACUUAAGCAUAUCAAUAAGCGGAGGAAAAGAAACUAACAAGGAUUCCCCUAGUAACUGCGAGUGAAGCGGGAAAAGCUCAAAUUUAAAAUCUGGCGGUUAUGCCGUCCGAGUUGUAAUCUGGAGAAGUGUUAUCCGCGCCGGACCGUGUACAAGUCCCUUGGAAUGGGGCGUCAUAGAGGGUGAGAAUCCCGUCUUUGACACGGACUCCCGGGGCUAUGUGAUGCGCUCUCGAAGAGUCGAGUUGUUUGGGAAUGCAGCUCAAAACGGGUGGUAAAUUCCAUCUAAAGCUAAAUAUUGGCGAGAGACCGAUAGCGAACAAGUACCGUGAGGGAAAGAUGAAAAGCACUUUGGAAAGAGAGUGAAACAGUACGUGAAAUUGUUGAAAGGGAAACGCUUGGAGUCCA